AAGAACCUUAACAAAAUCUUGACAUCCUUUCACCGCUCUAGAGAUAGAGUCUUCCCCUUCGGGGGACAAAGUGACAGGUGGUGCAUGGUCGAUCGUCAGCUCGUGUCGUGAGAUGUUGGGUUAAGUCCCGCAACGAGCGCAACCCUUAAGCUUAGUUGCCAUCAUUAAGUUGGGCACUCUAAGUUGACUGCCGGUGACAAACCGGAGGAAGGUGGGGAUGACGUCAAAUCAUCAUGCCCCUUAUGAUUUGGGCUACACACGUGCUACAAUGGACAAUACAAAGGGCAGCUAAACCGCGAGGUCAAGCAAAUCCCAUAAAGUUGUUCUCAGUUCGGAUUGUAGUCUGCAACUCGACUACAUGAAGCGGAAUCGCUAGUAAUCGUAGAUCAGCAUGAUACGGUGAAUACG
rnacentral:rRNA from 1 species